rnacentral:rRNA from 1 species
GAUGAAUGCUGGCGGCGUGCCUAAUACAUGCAAGUCGAGCGGUAAGGCCCUUCGGGUACACGAGCGGCGGACGGCUGAGUAACGCGUGGGAACAUGCCCCAAAGUGAGGGAUAACGCACCGAAAGGUGUGCUAAUACCGCAUAUGGUCUUCGGAUUAAAGGAUUUAUCCGCUUUGGGAGUGGCCCGCGUACGAUUAGAUUGUUGGUGAGGUAACGGCUCACCAAGUCGACGAUCGUUAACUGGUCUGAGAGGAUGAUCAGUCAGACUGGAACUGAGACACGGUCCAGACUCCUACGGGAGGCAGCAGUAAGGAAUCUUCCACAAUGGGCGAAAGCCUGAUGGAGCAACGCCGCGUGCAGGAUGAAGGCCCUCGGGUCGUAAACUGCUUUUAUGAGUGAAGAAUAUGACGGUAACUCAUGAAUAAGC